rnacentral:rRNA from 1 species
AUUGAACGCUGGCGGCAUGCCUUACACAUGCAAGUCGAACGGCAGCACGGGUGCUUGCACCUGGUGGCGAGUGGCGAACGGGUGAGUAAUACAUCGGAACGUACCUUAUCGUGGGGGAUAACGCAGCGAAAGCUGUGCUAAUACCGCAUACGCCCUGAGGGGGAAAGCGGGGGAUCGCAAGACCUCGCGCGAUUAGAGCGGCCGAUGCCUGAUUAGCUUGUUGGUGGGGUAAAAGCCCACCAAGGCGACGCGCGGUAGCUGGUCUGAGAGGACGGUCAGCCACACUGGGACUGAGACACGGCCCAAACUCCUACGGGAGGCAGCAGUGGGGAAUUUUGGACAAUGGGGGCAACCCUGAUCCAGCAAUGCCGCGUGAGUGAAGAAGGCCUUCGGGUUGUAAAGCUCUUUUGUCAGGGAAGAAACACCGGCUCUAACACAGUCUGGGAAUGACGGUACCUGAAGAAUAAGCACCGGCUAACUACGUGCCAGCCGCCGCCGUAA